UACGUAGGGGGCGAGCGUUGUCCGGAAUCAUUGGGCGUAAAGCGCGUGUAGGCGGCCCGGUAAGUCCGCUGUGAAAGUCGGGGGCUCAACCCUCGGAUGCCGGUGGAUACUGUCGGGCUCGAGUACGGAAGAGGCGAGUGGAAUUCCUGGUGUAGCGGUGAAAUGCGCAGAUAUCAGGAGGAACACCUAUUGCGAAGGCAGCUCGCUGGGACGUCACUGACGCUGAGACGCGAAAGCGUGGGGAGCAAACAGG
rnacentral:rRNA from 1 species